CGGAGGGUGCAAGCGUUAUCCGGAAUCAUUGGGUUUAAAGGGUCCGCAGGCGGACUUAUAAGUCAGUGGUGAAAGCCUACAGCUUAACUGUAGAACUGCCAUUGAUACUGUAAGUCUUGAAUUCGGUCGAAGUGGGCGGAAUAUGACAUGUAGCGGUGAAAUGCUUAGAUAUGUCAUAGAACACCGAUAGCGAAGGCAGCUCACUAGGCCUGGAUUGACGCUCAUGGACGAAAGCGUGGGGAGCAAACAGGAUUAGAUACCCUGGUAGUCCACGCCGUAAACUAUCAAUACUCGUUCUCGGCGAUAUACGGUCGGGGACUAAGCGAAAGUGAUAAGUAUUGCACCUGGGGAGUACGAUCGCAAGGUUG
rnacentral:rRNA from 1 species